GAGAGCUUUAGUAGCAUCUUCAACCUACAAUGCAUCAAAACAUUACAUGUAUGUUAUAAACCAAAAAUAUUUCUAGCAACCAACUAUUCUUUAAUGUACAAGAGAAAUGUAAUCCUACAUAGAGGGUUUAGGGACACAGAUUAGAGAACGAGGCAGUUUUUAAAGGGCACUCUAAAAUUUUCGAAAGACCUCGAUUGGGCAUAAAAUUCAUAUAACAUUUAUCUACAGUCAAACAUCAUUGGGAGCUAAGCUAACAACAUCAGCUACAUUCAGAAUAUCAGAAAACCCUCUACACACCAUAGGCAGUAGCAUCAAUUUAGUUUUGGUUCAGGGUGCGCACAGGAAGUUGACCAUCAUUAAUUUGCCUCUUUUCCUCAUAAAACUGCAACAAGAAUCAACAUUCUUUCUAUAAUAGUAAAAGUGGACAAUAUUUCAUCAUCCUGUAAAUUUAACGUAGGACAACCCCAAGGCUUUCAAAU
rnacentral:misc_RNA from 1 species